CACGUAGGGUGCGAGCGUUGUCCGGAAUUAUUGGGCGUAAGGAGCUCGUAGGCGGCUUGUCGCGUCGGUUGUGAAAGCCCGGGGCUUAACCCCGGGUCUGCAGUCGAUACGGGCAGGCUAGAGUUCGGUAGGGGAGAUCGGAAUUCCUGGUGUAGCGGUGAAAUGCGCAGAUAUCAGGAGGAACACCGGUGGCGAAGGCGGAUCUCUGGGCCGAUACUGACGCUGAGGAGCGAAAGCGUGGGGAGCGAACAGG
rnacentral:rRNA from 1 species